UCAGUUGUCGUGGCUGGAGUUCUUGACGGCAGACGCUCUGAGUAACGACAGCAGCUUCUGGAACACCAUCAAGUUCCACGGCACCUGGAGACG